rnacentral:rRNA from 1 species
AACGAACGCUGGCGGCAGGCUUAACACAUGCAAGUCGAGCGCCCCGCAAGGGGAGCGGCAGACGGGUGAGUAACACGUGGGAACGUGCCCAAAGGUACGGAACAACUCCGGGAAACUGGAGCUAAUACCGUAUGUGCCCGAGAGGGGAAAGAUUUAUCGCCUUUGGAUCGGCCCGCGUCUGAUUAGCUAGUUGGCGGUGUAAUGGACCACCAAGGCGACGAUCAGUAGCUGGUCUGAGAGGAUGACCAGCCACACUGGGACUGAGACACGGCCCAGACUCCUACGGGAGGCAGCAGUGGGGAAUAUUGGACAAUGGGCGCAAGCCUGAUCCAGCCAUGCCGCGUGAGCGAUGAAGGCCAUAGGGUUGUAAAGCUCUUUCGCCGAGGACGAUAAUGACGGUACUCGGAUAAGAAGCCCCGGCUAACUUCGUGCCAGCAGCCGCCGUAA